AUCGCUUCGUGGCCUUUUGGCUAAGAUCAUGUGUAAUAUCUGUUCUUUUCAGCUUAAUAUCUGAAACGCUGCUCAUUGAGUAGCCUCGAAUAUUAAACUGAUUUUUAGAAUUAGGCCAUGGAAUAGGAGCUUACUCCGUCCUGGCCACGGUUUUUUUUUUAUCAUAUUUAAUUAACGUUUAUUCAAU